rnacentral:rRNA from 1 species
CAGGGAGGUAGUGACAAGAAAUAACAAUACAGGACUUUUUGGUUUUGUAAUUGGAAUGAGUUAAGUAUAAACCCCUUUACAAGUAUCAAUUGGAGGGCAAGUCUGGUGCCAGCAGCCGCGGUAAUUCCAGCUCCAAUAGCGUAUAUUAAAGUUGUUGCAGUUAAAAAGCUCGUAGUUGGAUUUCUGUUAAUAAUUUAUAUAAAAUAUUUUGAUGAAUAUUUAUAUAAUAUUAACAUAAUUCAUAUUACUAUUUUUUUUUUUAGUAUAUGAAAUUUUACUUUGAGAAAAUUAGAGUGCUUAAAGCAGGCAUAUGCCUUGAAUACUCCAGCAUGGAAUAAUAUUAAAGAUUUUUAUCUUUUUUAUUGGUUCUAAGAUAAGAAUAAUGAUUAAUAGGGACAGUUGGGGGCAUUUGUAUUUAACAGUCAGAGGUGAAAUUCUUAGAUUUGUUAAAGACAAACUAAUGCGAAAGCAUUUGCCAAGGAUGUUUUCAUUAAUCAAGAA